UGCAAUGAUGGUGUAAUUUGCGUCUUACUUGGCGAUCAGCGACAGUUGCCUGCUGUCAAUAGCUGACGCCACAGACUGACGACAAAUAGAGUCUGAGCA